GACGAACGCUGGCGGCGUGCUUAACACAUGCAAGUCGAGCGGAAAGGCCCUUCGGGGUACUCGAGCGGCGAACGGGUGAGUAACACGUGAGUAACCUGCCCUAGGCUUUGGGAUAACCCCGGGAAACCGGGGCUAAUACCGGAUAUGACCUGGUGCCGCAUGGUGUUGGGUGGAAAGUUUUUUCGGCCUGGGAUGGGCUCGCGGCCUAUCAGCUUGUUGGUGGGGUGAUGGCCUACCAAGGCGAUGACGGGUAGCCGGCCUGAGAAGGAGACCGGCCACACUGGGACAGUGACACGGCCCAGACUCCUACGGGGGGCAGCGGUGGGGAAUAUUGAACAAUGGGCGGAAGCCUGAUGGAGCGACGCCGUGUGGGGGAUGAAGGCCUUCGGGUUGUAACCCUCUUUCAGCAGGGACGAAGCGUGAGUGACGGUACCUGCAGAAGAAGCUCCGGCCAACUACGUG
rnacentral:rRNA from 1 species